UACGUAGGGGGCAAGCGUUGUCCGGAAUCAUUGGGCGUAAAGAGCGUGUAGGCGGCUCGAUAAGUCUGCUGUGAAAGUCCAGGGCUCAACCCUGGAAGGCCGGUGGAAACUGUCGGGCUAGAAUCCGGAAGAGGCGAGUGGAAUUCCCGGUGUAGCGGUGAAAUGCGCAGAUAUCGGGAGGAACACCAAUGGCGAAGGCAGCUCGCUGGGACGGUACUGACGCUGAGACGCGAAAGCGUGGGGAGCAAACAGG
rnacentral:rRNA from 1 species